rnacentral:lncRNA from 1 species
GUGAGCUACAUGUGGUUUAGGUGACAGGAUGGACCUCAUGUUCAGCACCUCGACCACCUACAGACCCCCUCCCCUCCCUAUAGGCAGUUUUUUCCUCCCCUUUUUUGCGGAGUGAAUAAGAAGGGAACCCAAAGACAGAGCGACUCAGAGUCGAAAAGACGCUCAUCCACCCCCGCAAUGCCCAGUAGUACCCCGAGCACCAACGGAAUCAUGCCUGAAGUAAAGAAGGCAGGAAGAAAAGGAUCGAGAGCAGAAGCAAAUCCUGCAGAAAAGGCACCACCAUAUGACCCCAACAUCACUGAGCCCGAUACUAGAGCUGAGCUGAUGAAAUGUAUGCAUGAAGAUUACAAGAACUGUCUUGUUUCUUGCAUUUUUUAAUAUAUAUAUAUAU